rnacentral:rRNA from 1 species
AAACCGUUCAGGGGUAAACCUAAGAAACCCAAAAGAUCGAACGGGGAGAUUCAUCGUCAGCGGCGCGGGCUUCGCGUCGGCGGGCGAUGCCCCGCGGGGCGGGCCGGCGCAAGCUCGGCUCGCCGUCGCGCGGGCACGCUGCCGCGCUGCGAUGUCCCGCCGCCGUCGUCGUGCACUUCUCCCCCAGUAGGACGUCGCGACCCGCUGGGUGUCGGCCUACGGCCCGGGUGCGGUGCCUGCCGCGUCGCCGGUCAAACGGCACGCGGCAAACCCCCGAUCGCCCGGCCGGCUGCCCGGCGGUAGGCGAGAACCAGGUAUCAGGCCGCGCCGCGCGCGCGUCGAGCCCGUCGCAAGCGUCGGCCACGUCACCGGAGGUGCGGACCCAAGUCUUGGCCGUCCCCGGUGCUGGCCCGCUGCUGGCAUUGUCACGGUGCACCUUCGACCAGGCCUCGGCGUUCGCCGCGUACCCGGGGUAAGGGCGCGCGGUGGACCCUUACCGGUCGGCGACGCUACUGCUUUGGGUACUCUCAGGA